AAGUCAAACCGGUGGUCAGAGCACGAGAUAAAGCCAGGAGUGAGUCCAGAGUCCAAAAGCAAGGUCAGGCACAGUCCAAGGUAUGAGCGUUCCUAACAGAAAACACCUCACCUAGUGGCAGGAAGCUCAUCAAGUGGCACCUUGGUUUAUUUGUCCUCACAAAAGGGAGCUCACCUGGUGUCAAAAAGCGGAGCUCACCUGGUGGAAGGUAGGUUUCUAUCUCUCUCUCCCACACCCAAAGGGAACUGGCCCAGUGCCAGCUCACUUUCUCUACUUUCCCACCAGAAAGAGAGCUCGUCCAGUGGCAGAUAGGUUUCUCCACCAAAAUGGAGUUAGCCUGGAUGUAGCUCAGUUUCUUUUGUGCACCCCAAAGGGAGCUCACCUAGGUCCAUGUAAGUCCCCCCCACCCACCCAAAGAGAGCUCAUUUUCUUCUCUCCCACCAAAAGGGAUAUCAUGGCUGCUUGGUUUCUCUCUCCAAUGCAAGCUCUUCUGGUGGCAAGUAAGAUUCUCUCUCCCACUUGCUUACCAAAAGGGAGCUCGUUUACUAACAGGUAAUCUUUCCAUACUCAGUAGGUUUUCUUUUUCAGGUUAGAAUAGGGAAUCACGAACAACUGCUCUGGGCAAAUGCUGGUCGCUGGUUGACGGGGCCAGGAAGGAAUUUUUUCCCUUGGAGGGCUAAUUGGCUCUUGUCCCACCGGGGUUUUUUUGCCUUCCUCGGAGCACUUUUGUUCUAGAUUUAGGGAUUUUGUGAUGGCAAAGAAGACAUCACAGAAUUAUUUCCUUGGACUGCAGCGGCCGGAGUCCAAAGGGCUGCUGUGUUCUCCUGAAUGGAAAAGAAGGUGGAAAUUUAAAAUCAAAUUUUAUUUUAGACUUCCACCUUUUUUCCAUCCAAUAACCAAUAUUAUCAUUUAAUAAUAAUAAUAAAAGCGAAUUCCCUCUGA